CUAUGCAAGUUCAAGGUCACUAUGCAAAUACCUCCGUUUGCCUUUGGAAAAAUUUGCUAUGGCAUCAAUGAGCUGUUACUUGUCCUACAUUUGUGUUUGUUUAGUGCAUUCAGAUUGAGGAUGACUAAACAUGUGAAGCUGUCUGGGUUUGAAUGGGGGGCUCCUUCCCUUCCUCUCUUACUAAAGUUAGAUACGUAGUAAAAACUGCAAUCACUCUGGAAUUCGAUAUUAAGCUUGAACUGAUGAAAGGUGUGGUAAUGCUUGCUUUUUUCCAAAUGGGCUCAAUGUUUCUGUGCACCUUCCUGAUACUUACUCAGUGCUUAGGAAGCUUGUGGUUGUUUCUCCUGUUUUUUCCAGGCUCUUUGCUUGGCUAACAGCCCCCUGAUUUGCUGUGGUCUUACCUGGUGAAGGCAGGUGCCAGCCAAAUCUGCAUUUUUUGGUCAUACAGCUGUUCUGCUACUGCUGUUCUGAAAGCAGCAGGAAAGACUGAAGAGCAAAGCAGGAGAGUAGAAAACAUUCUAUUUUUAGGGGAAGAUUGGCUUAUCUCAUAUUCAUUCUAGCCAGGGGGAUAAUGUUUCCAGAGACCUCACACAAGUAAGGGCCGCGUAAAGACUGAGUUAAUUUUAACUGCCUGGCAGUCCACAGGCAUGGAGCCUUCACAGGAGCCUCAGGAGCUGGGACCUGAGACAGAAACCAUUGCAGACACAGUCCUUGAGGUUGGAGAGAGACUGUUUCAGGUCAGCCGCAGGGUGCUUUCAGUGCACAGCCGUUACUUCGAAGCCAUGUUUUUCGGAGGGGCAAGAGAGAGCUCUGAGCAGCACAUAGUGAUCCAAGGGAUCGAUGCAGUGCCUUUUCAGGCACUGCUUGAGUUCACUCGCACAGCCCAAGUGCUUAUAGGCCAAGAAAAUGUGACCAGUUUACUGGAAACGGCUGAUUUUUUCCAGUUUGACAGGGUGAGACUGUUGUGUGAGAAAUUUCUGGAGAGAGAGCUGCACGUUUCCAACUGCCUGGGCCUGAUGACCUACUCGCAGCAAUUUGCCUUUACAGAGCUGUAUGAGUCUGCUGUGAACGUGGCUGUCACUCACUGGGGGGAUGUGAUGUGCCAGGAGGAAUUUAAGGCACUACCCAAAGAAAUGCUGAUGCAGCUCCUGAAAAGUGACGACCUCUUCGUUUCGCGAGAAGACGUGGUUUUUGACAGUAUUGUGAGGUGGAUAAUGGAGGACCCAGCAACGAGAGAGGAAGAAUUUCUGGAUUUGGUGGGCGAAGUCAGGGUCGCUUUUCUGAGUUUGUCCUUCCUCGAUCUCUUGGUGAAACGCAGCAAGCACCGUGGAGAGGCAGAUGUCUUUUCCAGACUAAUAAAGAAGUUAGACUGCUGUCCUCCACCCAGCUGGCAAAAUCCCAAACUGUGUCCUUAUGCUGGUCGGAGCUAUGACACCUUAUACGUCCUGGGAGGAAAGCAUGACAAGGAACAGCAAGAAUUAUUUCUCUUUCUACCUAAAACAGGGACCUGGCAGGCUUGUUCUCCGCUGCAGCGCCGGAACCUCACCCAGUAUGCAAUGGCAGCAGUAGGGAGCUUCCUUUUUGUGACAGGAGGAUAUUUCCGGGAUGAGUUUGUGUGGUACAGUGUGGAUUGGGUGCUCAUCUACAACUGCUUGGACAACAGCUGGCUGGAAGGGCCAGCCAUGAAGAAGUCCCGGAACAGCCACUGUGCAGUGGGAGCAGGGCUCUACCUGUACGUGCUCGGGGGGAGCACCGAUGAAGGGAUAACCCCCGCGGUGGAGCGCAUGGCUUUGGUGGAAUCAGAGUGGGAAAGCAUGAGCCCUAUGGCUCAGCCUGUGGAGAGGGGUGAUGCAGUCAGUGUGGGAACCAGGAUCUAUGUGGUCUGUGGCCUGGACGAGAAUGGACAUGUGUAUGACGGAGUGCAAAGGCUGAACACGGAGACGGACAGCUGGGAUGUCAUCUCGUUCUCGCCGCUUCCAAGGUAUGACCUCUGCAUCACAUCCCUGAAUGGGGCUCUGUACACCAUAGGAGGGGGAGCUUUUCGAUUUGAUGUGGAGACCGAUGAAUGGACCCAGGUGAACGAGGAGUGCUUGACCCAGAAGUUCUUCAUGGGAUGCAGCACUGUGAACGGACGAAUUUAUCUCCUUGGACAGAGGAAGGGGAACAGUGCCCUCCCCACUGUAGUCCUCCUUGACCCCUACACUGAUGUGUGCCAGGUCAUAGAUAACAAACUCCCUUGCCCCCUUCCUAUUCACGGCUGUGUCUCUGUGCGAAGAUUCGAUACGUGGGCGUGAGCGGCGCCAGAUCCACCACAAACAAAAAGUCACCUGCUUUACAGCUGAAGGGAGUUAGACUGCAUCACGUUUGGCCUGUGAAAUUUUUUAAUUUUGAAAAUAGAUUUGUUCUUUUGCAACUUUAUCUUUUUUUUUUUCUACAAAUGAACUCGAAGCAAAAGCCGGUGAAAAACUUCGUGUCUGCACAAAGGCUGCAAGUCAUUAUUGAAAAUGGCUGGAGAGCACCACAGCAGGAGGGAGGCUAUUCUGGAUUUAUGCACUCAGGAGCUCAAACAGUGCACAACACCCAUGUUUAGGAAACAGCAAAACGUAACUUACAUCAGUGGGAAAAUGACAAGCCGGGAGAGGAUGAAAACCACAGCAAAAGCAACGAAAACAGCGUCACAGACCCGCUGCCACUUCAGGUUUUGCCUCCCUCUGUUCAUGGCUUGCACUGCCUACUAACUGCACUUCAUGGAUUUAUUUUAUGCCCAACGACCCAUGCUGACAACAUCUUAAAAUGCUAAUUUUGUGUCAAGAUCAUCUUGAAAAGAAGUGAAUGCAUUCUGAAAAUGGCUUGAGUGUUCAAAAUCCCUCCAGCAUCUGAGAUUUAAACCUGUUCUCCAUCAAGGCCACUGGACUCUGUUGAGGCAACUUUUAAAG